GACGAACGCUGGCGGCGUGCUUAACACAUGCAAGUCGAACGGAAAGGCCCUGCUUUUGUGGGGUGCUCGAGUGGCGAACGGGUGAGUAACACGUGAGUAACCUGCCCUUGACUUUGGGAUAACUUCAGGAAACUGGGGCUAAUACCGGCUAGGAGCUCCUGCUGCAUGGUGGGGGUUGGAAAGUUUCGGCGGUUGGGGAUGGACGCGCGGCUUAUCAGCUUGUUGGUGGGGUAGUGGCUUACCAAGGCUUUGACGGGUAGCCGGCCUGAGAGGGUGACCGGCCACAUUGGGACUGAGAGACGGCCCAGACGGCUACGGGAGGCAGCAGGGGGGAAUAUUGCACAAUGGGCGGAAGCCUGAUGCAGUAACGCCGCGUGCGGGAUGACGGCCUUCGGGUUGUAAACCGCUUUCGCCUGUGACGAAGCGUGAGUGACGGUAAUGUGUAAAGAAGCACCGGCUAACUACGUG
rnacentral:rRNA from 1 species